rnacentral:rRNA from 1 species
AUGCGUUGUUGGGUAGGGGAGCGUUCUGUAAGCCUGCGAAGGUGUGCUGUGAGGCAUGCUGGAGGUAUCAGAAGUGCGAAUGCUGACAUAAGUAACGAUAAAGCGGGUGAAAAGCCCGCUCGCCGGAAGACCAAGGGUUCCUGUCCAACGUUAAUCGGGGCAGGGUGAGUCGACCCCUAAGGCGAGGCCGAAAGGCGUAGUCGAUGGGAAACAGGUUAAUAUUCCUGUACUUGGUGUUACUGCGAAGGGGGGACGGAGAAGGCUAUGUUGGCCGGGCGACGGUUGUCCCGGUUUAAGCGUGUAGGCUGGUUUUCCAGGCAAAUCCGGAAAAUCAAGGCUGAGGCGUGAUGACGAGGCACUACGGUGCUGAAGCAACAAAUGCCCUGCUUCCAGGAAAAGCCUCUAAGCAUCAGGUAACAUCAAAUCGUACCCCAAACCGACACAGGUGGUCAGGUAGAGAAUACCAAGGCGCUUGAGAGAACUCGGGUGAAGGAACUAGGCAAAAUGGUGCCGUAACUUCGGGAGAAGGCACGCUGAUAUGUAGGUGAAGUCCCUCGCGGAUGGAGCUGAAAUCAGUCGAAGAUACCAGCUGGCUGCAACUGUUUAUUAAAAACACAGCACUGUGCAAACACGAAAGUGGACGUAUACGGUGUGACGCCUGCCCGGUGCCGGAAGGUUAAUUGAUGGGGUUAGCGCAAGCGAAGCUCUUGAUCGAAGCCCCGGUAAACGGCGGCCGUAACUAUAACGGUCCUAAGGUAGCGAAAUUCCUUGUCGGGUAAGUUCCGACCUGCACGAAUGGCGUAAUGAUGGCCAGGCUGUCUCCACCCGAGACUCAGUGAAAUUGAACUCGCUGUGAAGAUGCAGUGUACCCGCGGCAAGACGGAAAGACCCCGUGAACCUUUACUAUAGCUUGACACUGAACAUUGAGCCUUGAUGUGUAGGAUAGGUGGGAGGCUUUGAAGUGUGGACGCCAGUCUGCAUGGAGCCGACCUUGAAAUACCACCCUUUAAUGUUUGAUGUUCUAACGUGGACCCGUAAUCCGGGUUGCGGACAGUGUCUGGUGGGUAGUUUGACUGGGGCGGUCUCCUCCUAAAGAGUAACGGAGGAGCACGAAGGUUGGCUAAUCCUGGUCGGACAUCAGGAGGUUAGUGCAAUGGCAUAAGCCAGCUUGACUGCGAGCGUGACGGCGCGAGCAGGUGCGAAAGCAGGUCAUAGUGAUCCGGUGGUUCUGAAUGGAAGGGCCAUCGCUCAACGGAUAAAAGGUACUCCGGGGAUAACAGGCUGAUACCGCCCAAGAGUUCAUAUCGACGGCGGUGUUUGGCACCUCGAUGUCGGCUCAUCACAUCCUGGGGCUGAAGUAGGUCCCAAGGGUAUGGCUGUUCGCCAUUUAAAGUGGUACGCGAGCUGGGUUUAGAACGUCGUGAGACAGUUCGGUCCCUA